rnacentral:rRNA from 2 species
GAACCUGCCGUUGGAUCAGU